UACGGAGGGUGCAAGCGUUGUUCGGAAUCACUGGGCGUAAAGGGCGUGCAGGCGGUCUAUCAAGUCUGGUGUGAAAUCCCCUCGCUCAACGAGGGAACUGCGCCGGAAACUGACAGACUAGAGUACCGGAGAGGAAGGUGGAAUUCCCGGUGUAGCGGUGAAAUUCGUAGAUAUCAAGCAGAACACCUGCGGCGAAGGCGGCCUUCUGGACGAUGACUGACGCUGAGACGCGAAAGCGUGGGGAGCAAACAGG
rnacentral:rRNA from 1 species